CAAUAGCGUAUAUUUAAGUUGUUGCAGUUAAAAAGCUCGUAGUUGGAUUUCGGUUAAGAGCGACCGGUCCGCCGUUUGGUGUGCACUGGUUGGUUUUAACUUCCUGUAGAGGACGUGCUCUGGGUUUAACGACCUGGACUCGGAGUCUACGUGGUUACUUUGAAAAAAUUAGAGUGUUCAAAGCGGGCUUACGCUUGAAUAUUUCAGCAUGGAAUAACACUAUAGGACUCCUGUCCUAUUUCGUUGGUCUCGGGACGGGAGUAAUGAUUAAGAGGAACAGUUGGGGGCAUUCGUAUUUCAUUGUCAGAGGUGAAAUUCUUGGAUUUAUGAAAGACGAACUUCUGCGANANCAUUUUNCAAGGAUGUUNUCAUUNA
rnacentral:rRNA from 1 species